rnacentral:rRNA from 1 species
GAUGAACGCUGGCGGCGUGCCUAAUACAUGCAAGUCGAGCGAACAGACGAGGAGCUUGCUCCUCUGACGUUAGCGGCGGACGGGUGAGUAACACGUGGAUAACCUACCUAUAAGACUGGGAUAACUUCGGGAAACCGGAGCUAAUACCGGAUAAUAUAUUGAACCGCAUGGUUCAAUAGUGAAAGACGGUUUUGCUGUCACUUAUAGAUGGAUCCGCGCCGCAUUAGCUAGUUGGUAAGGUAACGGCUUACCAAGGCAACGAUGCGUAGCCGACCUGAGAGGGUGAUCGGCCACACUGGAACUGAGACACGGUCCAGACUCCUACGGGAGGCAGCACUAGGGAAUCUUCCGCAAUGGGCGAAAGCUUGACGGAGCAACGCCGCGUGAGUGAUGAAGGUCUUCGGAUCGUAAAACUCUGUUAUUAGGGAAGAACAAAUGUGUAAGUAACUAUGCACGUCUUGACGGUACCUAAUCAGAAAGCCACGGCUAACUACGUG